CAGCCGCCGCGGGAAUACGGAGGAUCCAAGCGUUAUCCGGAAUCAUUGGGUUUAAAGGGUCCGUAGGCGGUCUUGUAAGUCAGUGGUGAAAGCCCAUCGCUCAACGGUGGAACGGCCAUUGAUACUGCAGGACUUGAAUUAUUGGGAAGUAACUAGAAUAUGUAGUGUAGCGGUGAAAUGCUUAGAGAUUACAUGGAAUACCAAUUGCGAAGGCAGGUUACUACCAAUUGAUUGACGCUGAUGGACGAAAGCGUGGGUAGCGAACAGGAUUAGAGACCCGCGUAGUCCCUGUCUCUUAUAC
rnacentral:rRNA from 1 species